CAAGAUGGCCAUCCAGACUCAGCAGUCGAAGUUUGUGAACUUGCAGGUGGACGGGAAGUACUGGGACUCUGACUUCACAGCGGUCGUCACGCUGGGAACCCAGAUGUCCUUGUGGGUUCAGGAAUUCUCGUAACCUUCUACCUACCUCCAGAGCAUCACGCCUUGACUGGCUCUGAGCAGAGAGCUGGUCUACCACCCGCAGCCUGGGGAGGAGGGCACCGUCAUGUCUCUAGCUGGAAAAUACACAUUGAACAUUUGGUUGGCAACGGUAAUGUUGGGCCAGGAGGGCAUGCACAGGACAUACUACCACAAAGCCAGUGACCAGCUGCAGGUGCGUGUGGAGUUUGGAGGCCAGCACAAGGAUGCAGGACACCAGUGUCUCGUUCAGGUACCAGCUGGACCUGCCCAAGGCCAACCUCCUCUUCAAAGGCUCUGUGGACAGCAACUGGAUCGUGGGUGCCACCCUGGGGAAGAAGCUCCCGCCCCUGCUCCUGACACUGGCCCUCCAGGCCUUCCUGAAUCACUGCAAGAACAAGUUCCAGUGCAGGUUUGGCCUCACCAACCGCUGUUCAAGGGAUACAUGUGCAUGUUUGUUACAUGCUAAAUUGUGUGUAGCAGGAGUAUGGUGUACUGGUAAUUUUGUCAUACAGGUUUCUGAGUGGACGUCCAGUUUAUUAAUUCCCAGUGCUGGAAUCUGAGCAACCCACUGUGCCAGCCAAAACUGCAGUUAUAAGACUGAUGGUGCUCUUCUGCUGGGGAAUCUCCAGUCUGGCUUUCUUCCUGAGUCCGUAAUAAGUGGCUCUGCCUUCCUGGAGCUCGAAACAUUGGUCAGAAGGUGAACCAGUCCCGUUUACUCAGCAUGAAGAGCUGCCGCGCCGAGGCACCGGCAAAACCGCUGCGCUGGCCACAAGAGUCACGCUGGUGACCCAUGGGGCUCCUCCACUGGGAAUAUUCUGGUCCUUGUGCAAUGAAAAUUCAUCUGAAAGUGGCUUCCUCUCGUUCUCUGCGCUUUCACUGGGAGCUACAAUCCUGAGCUGUUAGCGAUCAGCCAUCUUGGAUCCUCCUACUUACUUUUUUUUUAAACCUUCUUUUACCCAUUCUGGAAGCAGCCUGACUUAUCCUGGAGAUAAGAAUGCCAGAAGAAUGCCACCAGUUAUAAUCCAGAAAUAAAGAUCUGAUUAUGUCACA
rnacentral:lncRNA from 13 species